CGGCGGACGGGUGAGUAACGCGUGGGUAACCUGCCUCAUACAGGGGGAUAACAGUUGGAAACGGCUGCUAAUACCGCAUAAGCGCACAGUACCGCAUGGUACGGUGUGAAAAACUCCGGUGGUAUGAGAUGGACCCGCGUCUGAUUAGGUAGUUGGUGGGGUAACGGCCUACCAAGCCGACGAUCCAUAGCCGACCUGAGAGGGUGACCGGCCACAUUGGGACUGAGACACGGCCCAA
rnacentral:rRNA from 1 species